AUUAACGACGCUAAAUAUCUGCUCUUCAGCUGCAUGCAAAAGUUUAGUUGCUCUGUCGAACGUACGUAACGUUCAUUUAUCGCCGGCUCCGUAGAUACAUUUUCGGCAUGUGAAGAUAUAAAUCGGAAACAAAAAGUGGUAAGGGUCCGCUGUAAACAUAUUAUAUCGCAAUAUUCUUCAUCAGUCUACAGCUGAAAACUGUUAUCAAUUGAAACUAACAUCAUAGUUUUUCCUAAUUUGGGAAAAUGUCGAAAAAGCGAGCAAAAAACUUUACUAAAGAAGAUGUUAAUCUUUUUGCUGCUCUCGUUAUGAAUUAUAAGCAUAUCAUUGAAAAUAAAAAAAACAGACGCAGUAACUGUGCAAGCAAAGAAGGAAGCUUGGGAAAAAAUAUCUGUGGAAUUCUCUGCGUCUGCAUCCAGUCCACGCAAUGCCGAGCAAUUAAAGAUCUUUUACAAAAAAACAAAGUCUUCUGUAAAAAAGGACUUGGCCGCGGACAAGGCGGAAAGGUAUAGAACCGGCGGAGGCGCACCAUCGCACACACUCCAGUAUGAUCAUCCUCUGUUAAAAGUGGUGGCUCCAGAGGUCCGACCACUUUCGAACCCUUUCGACAGCAGUAGCAUUUAUUUCAAUGAGUUGCCAAAUACUGAAAUGGUGGAUUAUGAUGAACCAACGGCUAUUUGUGAAAUAACUUGCCAAGGAAGUCAGCAGCUCUUGAUAAACGGUGGAAGCAUAAUAAGCGAUGAAGAAACUAGCUUAGCUGAUCUUCCAGAUGAGUCGCAGCGACCGGAUGGUUGUAACGAUGACAGAAAUCAAGGAUCUAGUCAAAACCCGUUGGUCACGCAAAUCUCGGUUGAAGGAAUCGAAGUUUCCGGUAAUGGUAAUGCAUUCUGUACUAGAAAUGGGUGAUCAGAUAUAAACGAGCCCAGCGUUAUACAUAACGAGCAGAGACACGAUGUUGUUCGAAACAACAAACGUCAGCGUGUGAAUUUCAACACGCUCCGAGAAUAUGUCAGCGACUACUCUGAACAGAAAAAAAGAAAACUUGAUCUACAAAUUGAGCUUCUGGAAAUGCAGAAGGAAAAAGUUCGACUCGAGAUUAGAAAAUUAAUAGGAAAUACGGACGAUGAAAACUAGUAGUAAGUUUUUAAGUUCUAUUACUCCCUAAGCGUUAUUUUUUCUAUUCAAUUGAUCUUGAUUAAGUAGUUUACUGUUAUAUAUA